rnacentral:rRNA from 1 species
AGAGCGAACGCUGGCGGCAGGCUUAACACAUGCAAGUCGAGCGGGCGUAGCAAUACGUCAGCGGCAGACGGGUGAGUAACGCGUGGGAACAUACCUUUUGGUUCGGAACAACCCAGGGAAACUUGGGCUAAUACCGGAUAAGCCCUUACGGGGAAAGAUUUAUCGCCGAAAGAUUGGCCCGCGUCUGAUUAGCUAGUUGGUGAGGUAACGGCUCACCAAGGCGACGAUCAGUAGCUGGUCUGAGAGGAUGAUCAGCCACAUUGGGACUGAGACACGGCCCAAACUCCUACGGGAGGCAGCAGUGGGGAAUAUUGGACAAUGGGCGCAAGCCUGAUCCAGCCAUGCCGCGUGAGUGAUGAAGGCCCUAGGGUUGUAAAGCUCUUUUGUGCGGGAAGAUAAUGACGGUAUCGCAAGAAUAAGCCCCGGCUAACUUCGCGCCAGCAGCCGC